GGGUGCGAUUAUAUACUGGGAAGUUAAACUUGAUUCAACGAGAGCAGUACUAGGAUGGGUGAUUCCGGAAAAAUUCUCGUAUUUCACCUC
rnacentral:sRNA from 1 species